ensembl:lncRNA
CAAACAAUGCAGACAGAGUAAGAGGAUUUGGAGGGAGAGCCAGAGGACGAGUUCGACUAAGAGGAGUUGGAAGGGGAGGAAGAGGACGAGUCAGAAAUGGAGGAGGACAUGGAACAAGAAGAGUGGUCUCAAAUGAGAUUAGGGCUACAGUAGUCGAUCAUGUGAUAAACCAUGGUUUAACAAUGAGAGAGGCUGGACUGAGAGUCCAGCCUAAUUUGAGUAGAUUUACUGUGGCGGGUAUAAUUCGAACCUUUAGAAAUGAGAACAGGUAUGUAACAAUCUAAUGUAAUGUACACAUGUUCUAAUGUACACAUAAUAGCUUUUUUACCAUAACAAACAGUAGGCCUAUACUAUAAUAAAUAUAUUUUACUGUAGUACCCUUGCAUUAAUUUACUACAGUGCAUUGCAUUGGUCACAGUUUGGUAAGGUAUCAAACUGUACAAUAAAACAGCCAACUUUAAGACAAUCUGACCAAAUUGUUAAAUAUUAUAUAUAUUGUUACAGUUUAUGGCACACACUUACUGUUCCUGAAUCUUUUACAGAGUGGAAAGGCAAAGGAUUCAUGGUGGGCGAGGUCACAUGUUCACUGAAGUGCAGGAGACGGCUAUUCUGAAUUUGGUUUUGGCCAAUAAUGCUAUUACAAUCCGUGAAAUACGCAACCAUAUCCUUAAUGAUGCCACAGUUUUUGCGAACAUAAAUGCUAGAGUUUUGGAGAUGGAUGCCCAUGCCAUUGUGCAUGAAUACAUUUAUGUGGAUGAGGUGGGCUUUAAUCUCAGUAAAACCAGAAGAAGGGGAAGGAAUGUCAUUGGACAAAGGGCCAUUGUCAAUGUCCCUGGACAACGUGGCGGAAACAUUACAAUGUGUGCUGCGAUUUCACAAAAUGGUGUCCUGCACCAUCACGCCACACUUGGCCCCUAUAACACUGAUCACAUCAUACAAUUUCUGGAAACUAUUCAUGACAUGCUUGUUCAGGGUCUGCAGAAUGAAGACCAGGCAAGAUUUGUCAUCAUCUGGGAUAAUGUCAGGUUUCAUCAUGCCCAUCAGGUCCAAAACUGGUUUGCUAUGCAUCCCCAUUUUUCUGUUGUCUACCUGCCUCCAUAUUCACCAUUUCUAAAUCCUAUUGAGGAAUUUUUCUCCACAUGGCGCUGGAAAGUGUACGAUCAUCGUCCCUAUGUUAACAUGACACUUCUCCAGGCAAUGGAGGAGGCAUGUGGAGACAUUGAUGCUGCCUCCAUCCAAGGUUGGAUACGUCAUACAAGAAGGUUCUUUCCACGGUGUCUGGCAAGAGAGAAUAUAGCAUGUGACGUGGAUGAAGUAUUGUGGCCGGAGCCAGCCCGGAGGAGAGAUGGAGCCUAGAUACACCCAACCAUCUCCACAUGCAAGCACACACAUUAUGUUUGGUUUUACACUACAUGCUACAACACUACAUAUUUUUGAUGUAUUUUUUUUUCUUUUCAAACUGUGUACACUAAUACUACAUUUACAACCACAAACAGCAAAAAAAUAAAAACAUAAAUAAAAAGUUUGGUUUCAAUUUUGCUUUUGUUUUUACUUUAUAUAUUCAACAGCUCUCUCCC